rnacentral:rRNA from 1 species
UACGUAGGGGGCUAGCGUUGUCCGGAAUCAUUGGGCGUAAAGCGCGUGUAGGCGGCUCGGUAAGUCCGCUCUGAAAGUCCGGGGCUCAACCCCGGGAGGCGGAUGGAUACUGCAAGGCUCGAGUCCGGAAGAGGCGAGUGGAAUUCCCGGUGUAGCGGUGAAAUGCGCAGAUAUCGGGAGGAACACCAAUGGCGAAGGCAGCUCGCUGGGACGGUACUGACGCUGAGACGCGAAAGCGUGGGGAGCAAACAGG